GGGCCUAUAGUAAAAUGGCAUUACGCUUCCGUGGCACGGAAGAGGUCGGGGUUCGAUUCCCCGUAGGUCCA
rnacentral:tRNA from 1 species